UGUCUUUCAUUAAUCAUAUUUUUUUUAUAGGUGGCUUUAAUGUAUUUGUCUUUUUAAUGUUUGUUGUAAACUGAACAAUUAACCUUGUGUAUUACAAUUAAAAACUGUAACUACUGUAAAAGUAAUUCACAACUGUAUUUUUAAUCCCUGAUGUAAACUGAACAAUUUUAAAAUAAGAUCUAUUUUAAAACUUAAAUGAAUUCAAGUGUUGCAAUCUUAACUUUUUAGCAGUUAAGUAAUUAAUGUGCUUUUCAGUUACUUUUUACACUUUUGCCUCAUAAUAAAAUUUUUUCCCUUCAGAAUUCACAGAAGUGCCAUGUGAAUUCUUGGAGAAUAUUGUGAAACUGUAGAAGAUACCCAUAGCGUAAUGAUAGAAUUUCGGCAAUGUCUUGGAGCGCUUCCAAUUGUGGAUGAUGAAUUAAAAAAAAGCCUCAGGCGAAAACAAAGAAGAAAAUGAAAGUGAUGUGACUAUGAGUGCUCCUGUUCAAAAAUUAGUGACUGCUGAUGGUACUUAUGCUACACAGAGUGCUUUCAGUACUGCACCAAUGCCGUCAAAAAGCUUUUAUUGCUGAAUGCAUGCUAAUUAUGGCUUUAGUAAUUCAUUUGGGUAAAUCAGGAACAGCUAAGAAGGUAAGCAAUCUUUUUUUUAAAUAUUGAAUCAUUAUUUCAAAACUUGAAGUAUAAUAACAUGAAUU